UACAGAGGGUGCAAGCGUUAAUCGGAAUUACUGGGCGUAAAGGGCAUGUAGGUGGUUGUAUAAGUCGUGUGUGAAAUACCCGGGCUUAACCUGGGAAGUGCAUACGAAACUGUAUAGCUAGAGUCGUGUAGAGGGAAGUGGAAUUUCCGGUGUAGCGGUGAAAUGCGUAGAUAUCGGAAAGAACACCAGUGGCGAAGGCGGCUUCCUGGACACAGACUGACACUGAGGUGCGAAAGCGUGGGGAGCAAACAGG
rnacentral:rRNA from 1 species